rnacentral:rRNA from 1 species
ACAUGUAAGAUCGGCAUAGGCUUUACCUUCGGGUUUGCUCAUUGUUAAUCUGUGGACAGCUCAUUAUAACAGUUAUACACUUAGCCACUGGUACGAUUUGGGCAACCAAUACAAGGAUAACUUUGUCAAAUGCAGCGAUAAUACUUGAGUGACGAGUCGGUGCAAGCCGACUGGCAUUAGCGUAAAUGUCUCACGAUCGUGAGGAAACCGCGCUACUGUAACUCUAACUGCAGGUUCGCUUGUAGUGGAGCGUCGACCAUUAGGAGUGCGCAAGCACACAAAGUUUGUCAGACAGUGUUUUAAUAAGGCUCUGUAUGUUAGCUUUUACUAGUGGCCAGGAAGAGGUGUUUCUUAUCUAUCAGCUGAAGUUGUUUCAGUAAGGGUAAAACACGGCGAUUACGGAUACGGGGGAUCAGUGUCUGAUUCCGGAGAGGGAGCCUGAGAAAUGGCUACUACAUCUAAGGACGGCAGCAGGCGCGAAAAUUACCCAAUCUCAAUUCGAGGAGGUAGUGACAAGAAAUAACAACUUUACACCAUUUGGUGGAAAGGUACUAUCUAAUAGUUUGGAAUGGUUUUAGAUUAAAAUUCUAUUAGAGUAACGACUAGAGGAAAAGUCUGGUGCCAGCACCCGCGGUAAUUCCAGCUCUAGUAGCGUAUAUUAAUACUGUUGUAGUUAAAACGCUCGUAGUUGACCUAAGGACUAUAGGUUUUGAUUCGGUGUUAGCCCGUUCUUAUGUAGUUCCGUGUUAUAACGGGGUUGCAUGGAAUGAGGUUGAUAUCCACGGCAUGUCGUCCCCAUACGACCCCGUCUGUGGGUGUUCAUGUGUGGGUUUUACCUGUAGUCCGAUCCUUGCCAAUGGUUCGCCAUUGGUAAAGGCCUUAUGGUACAACUGUAAACAAAUCAGAGUGCUCAAAGCAGGCAUUGUUAAUGGGGAUUUAUCYUCAGUUUUGCUUGAAUGAUUUAGCAUGGGAUUGUCUUGGAGCCGUGAAUAGUGCCCUUCAGCAAUGGAGGAACGCUGUUCACUGGCGCUUGUAAUGUGAAGCAGGGAGAGGGCUCAAGUACUAUGGUGCUAGAGGUGAAAUUUAGAUACCAGCAUAUGACUUUCUGAUGCGAAAGCUGUUAUUGUCCAAUACACUUCUUUCGAUCAGGGACGAAAGUUAGGGGAUCGAAGAUGAUUAGAUACCGUCGUAGUCCUAACUAUAAACGAUACCAACAAGAGAUUGGUAGUGAAACCAUUUAAGAUCCUCUCAGAAUCCAAGGGAAACCUAAAGUCUUUGGGUUCUGGGGGGAGUAUAGUCGCAAGGCCGAAACUUAAAGGAAYUGACGGAAAGGCACCACCAGGAGUGGAGUUUGCGGCUUAAUUCGACCCAACGCGGGAAAACUCACCAGGACAGGACAGAGGUAUGAUUGACAGGUUGAAAGUCUUUUCUUGAUUCUCUGGAUGGUGGUGCAUGGCCGUUCUUAGUUCGUGGAGUGAUUUUGUCUUGUUAAUUCAGUUAACGAACGAGACCUUAACCUACUAACUAGGCUAUAGGCUAGCUUUACGGCUAGUCAGUUUCUACGGGGUGUUCGUAUGGGCCAUUUCUGAACCUAUAAUAUGGAACUGCAUCUUCGGGUGUAGCUCCU